UACGGAGGGGGCGAGCGUUGUCCGAAGUUACUGGGCGUAAAGCGCGCGUAGGCGGGUUGCUAAGUCCGCUGUGAAAGCCCGAGGCUUAACCUCGGAGGGUCGGUGGAUACUGGCAGCCUUGAAGGUGGUAGGGGGAGAUGGAAUUACCGGUGUAGCGGUGAAAUGCGUAGAGAUCGGUAGGAACACCAGUGGCGAAGGCGGUCUCCUGGCCCACUCUUGACGCUGAGGCGCGAAAGCUGGGGGAGCGAACGGG
rnacentral:rRNA from 1 species